AGUUCUCAACUUGCUCCUUGGCUGUUCUCCUGACACUUAAGUCAGAGCAUUCUGCAGCUGUAUUUUACAGAACUGUAAUUGCACAGAUUGUUCCUCUUACAAGAGAAAUAUCCAGAGCUCUAGGAAAACAAUUGAUGAAAACGACAUGCGUGACAUUUGGUGCUGAAGACCCGGGUCAGAGAGACUCCUUUGGGGGACCAGUCCCCUGUCCUUGCCCUCACUCAGUGAGAAGACCCACCUAUGACCUCGGGUCCUCAGACCAACCAGCUCAAGGAACAUCUCACCCAUUUCAAAUCGGGACCCCACUGGAAAUCGGACUGUCCAACUCGCCCGGCAGCCACUCCCAGAGCCCCUGGAACUCUGGCCCAAGGCUCUGUGACUGACUCCUUCCCAGAUCUUCUCGGUUCAGCGGCUGAAGACUGACACUGCCCGAUUGCCUGGGAAGCCUAUAGGACCAUCACAGACACUUUGGGUAACUCUUACAGUGAAGGUGUCUGGAGUUUCCCGUACGGACUCUGUCUCCUGCCACCAUGUAAGUCUUGC
rnacentral:lncRNA from 1 species